GAUGGCGGCAUCCGGGGAGCAGGCUCCAUGCUCUGUGUACUUCAACGAGAGCAUCUUCAGCAGGCGCGAGGACCAAGCACUGUAUGCGCAGAUCGUAUCACAGCUGUGGCACUAUGGGAAGGUGAUCACUGAGCACGUGGCUGAUGCUGAGUUGGAGCCCCGUGGCGAAGAGGCUGCGGGGGGGCGACCAGCUCAUCCAUGAGCGGGACCUGGCCUGGCUGCAGCAAGCAGAUGUGGUAGUGGCCGAAGUGACACAGCCAUCCUUGGGCAUUGGCUAUGAAUUAGGCCGGAGAGUAAGUAGCUCUUGGUAAGCCAAUUCUGUGCCUGUUCCGAUCACAGUCUGGCCAAGUGCUUUCUGCCAUGAUCCAGGGAGCAGCAGAUGGCUCAAGAUUCUGGGUAUGGGACUACACAGAGGGAGAGGUGGAGACCAUGCUCCAUCGAUACUUUGAAGCUUAUAUUCCUCAGAAGACAGCUUCCUCCAAUAACCUAAGUGCCUGACUUAACCUAUUAUAUUAAAAAAAAAGAUUUAAAAAAUAAAUAAACCUUUAAAAUGUAUAUGAGUAAA
rnacentral:lncRNA from 1 species